GCAGGCUGAAAUUACGCCUCGCAUGAAGCCGGAAUUGCUAGUAAUGGCAGGUCAGCAUACUGCCGUGAAUACGUUCCCGGGCCUUGUACACACCGCCCGUCACACCAUGAGAGUUGGGGAUACCCAAAGCCCGUGAGCCAACUGUAAAGAGGCAGCGGUCUAAGGUAGAAUCAAUGAUUGGGGGUGAAGUCGUAACAAGGUAUC
rnacentral:rRNA from 1 species